UCUCUUCUUCCACUUCUCCGCCAGUCUCUGCUCCAGACAAAAGCUCUGCUUUCAAUUUUGCAGAGGAGGCAGAGAGAAUGUGAUUUAAAACUGUGAAGAGGACCACAGUCUGUACCACCAGCACUGCACAUGGUCCCCAGAGUCUGUUUCUACGUGUGGUUGAUGAGCACAUAGGAAGAAAGAUGUAACACCGCCAGUCAAGUUUGUUCGGUCAUGUCUUCCUGGUAAGUUUUAGGAAAUGGUUCGUAGACUUCAUACCUUGGAAGAACACAUCAUGAACCAGAACAAGGACUGGACUCACCUCACAAUGAUGCAGUCAUUACAUAUUUAGUAAAAAAUCUGGCUGCAAGUUAAGAUUUGAAGAAUGUGGAGACAGACAUCCUUCUAUGU